GAUGAACGCUGACAGAAUGCUUAACACAUGCAAGUCAACUUGAACUUCGGUUUGGGUGGCGGACGGGUGAGUAACGCGUACAGAACUUGCCUCACAGCUAGGGACAACAUUUGGAAACGAAUGCUAAUACCUGAUAUUAUGAUUUUAGGGCAUCCUAGAAUUAUGAAAGCUAUAUGCGCUGUGAGAGAGCUUUGCGUUCCAUUAGCUAGUUGGAGAGGUAACGGCUAACCAAGGCGAGGAUGGGUAGCCGGCCUGGGAGGGUGAACGGCCACAAGGGGACAGAGACACGGCCCUUACGCAUUCGGGAGGCAGGAGUGGGGAAUAUUGGAAAAUGGACCAAGAGUCUGAUGCAGCAAUUCUGUGUGCACGAUGAAGUUUUUCGGAAUGUAAAGUGCUUUCAGUUGGGAAGAAAAAAAUGACGGUACCAACAGAAGAAGUGACGGCUAAAUACGUG
rnacentral:rRNA from 1 species